rnacentral:rRNA from 1 species
UGGGGAAUAUUGCACAAUGGGCGCAAGCCUGAUGCAGCCAUGCCGCGUGUGUGAAGAAGGCCUUCGGGUUGUAAAGCACUUUCAGCGAGGAGGAAGGUGGUGGACUUAAUACGUUCAUCAAUUGACGUUACUCGCAGAAGAAGCACCGGCUAACCCCGUGCCAGCAGCCGCGGUAAUACGGAGGGUGCAAGCGUUAAUCGGAAUUACUGGGCGUAAAGCGCACGCAGGCGGUUUGUUAAGUCAGAUGUGAAAUCCCCGGGCUCAACCUGGGAACUGCAUUUGAAACUGGCAAGCUAGAGUCUCGUAGAGGGGGGUAGAAUUCCAGGUGUAGCGGUGAAAUGCGUAGAGAUCUGGAGGAAUACCGGUGGCGAAGGCGGCCCCCUGGACGAAGACUGACGCUCAGGCGCGAAAGCGUGAGGAGCAAACAGGAUUAGAUACCCUGGUAGUCCACGCUGUAAACGAUGUCGAUUUUGGAGGUUGUGCCCUUGAGGCGUGGCUUCCGGAGCUAACGCGUUAAAUCGACCGCCUGGGGAGUACGGCCGCAAGAUUAAAACUU